rnacentral:tRNA from 1 species
GGGGGUGUGGCUCAGUGGUAGAGUACAUGCUUAGCAUGCAUGAGGCUCGAACUGAAUACUUAGUAAUUAAAACAGAAAAAAAGGACAACCCAUUUUCAUUUCCU